AGUGGGAAUUUUGCACAAUGGGCGAAAGCCUGAUGCAGCGACGCCGCGUGAGGGAUGAAGGCCUUCGGGUCGUAAACCUCUGUUGAUGGGGAAGAAAAAAAUGACGGUACCCAUCGAGGAAGCCUCGGCUAACUCCGUGCCAGCAGCCGCGGCAAGACGGAGGAGGCAAGCGUUGUCCGGAUUGACUGGGCGUAAAGAGCGUGUAGGCGGGGUCUUGUGUCGGCAGUGAAAUCCUUCCGCUUAACGGAAGAACUGCUGCCGAAACUGGGGCUCUUGAGGGCAGGAGAGGAGAGUGGAAUUGCUGGUGUAGCGGUGGAAUGCGUAGAGAUCAGCAAGAACACCCGUGGCGAAAGCGACUCUCUGGACUGCUCCUGACGCUGAGACGCGAAAGCCAGGGGAGCGAACGGGAUUAGAAACCCCAGUAGUCC
rnacentral:rRNA from 1 species